rnacentral:rRNA from 1 species
CGAGCGGACAGAUGGGAGCUUGCUCCCUGAUGUUAGCGGCGGACGGGUGAGUAACACGUGGGUAACCUGCCUGUAAGACUGGGAUAACUCCGGGAAACCGGGGCUAAUACCGGAUGCUUGUUUGAACCGCAUGGUUCAAACAUAAAAGGUGGCUUCGGCUACCACUUACAGAUGGACCCGCGGCGCAUUAGCUAGUUGGUGAGGUAAUGGCUCACCAAGGCAACGAUGCGUAGCCGACCUGAGAGGGUGAUCGGCCACACUGGGACUGAGACACGGCCCAGACUCCUACGGGAGGCAGCAGUAGGGAAUCUUCCGCAAUGGACGAAAGUCUGACGGAGCAACGCCGCGUGAGUGAUGAAGGUUUUCGGAUCGUAAAGCUCUGUUGUUAGGGAAGAACAAGUACCGUUCGAAUAGGGCGGUACCUUGACGGUACCUAACCAGAAAGCCACGGCUAACUACGUGCCAGCAGCCGCGGUAAUACGUAGGUGGCAAGCGUUGUCCGGAAUUAUUGGGCGUAAAGGGCUCGCAGGCGGUUUCUUAAGUCUGAUGUGAAAGCCCCCGGCUCAACCGGGGAGGGUCAUUGGAAACUGGGGAACUUGAGUGCAGAAGAGGAGAGUG